GAUGAACGCUGGCGGCGUGCCUAAUACAUGCAAGUCGAGCGAACAGACGAUGCUCUUGCUCGUCUGACGUGAGGGGCGGGGGUGUGAGUAACACGUGUAUCCCCUACCUAUAUUACUGAUAUCACUUGGGGAAUGCGGCGAUAAUCCCGGAUGAUCUCUUGAACCGCAGGGGUCGUUGGUAAGAUACGGUUGUGCUGUAUCUACUAGAGGGUUCCGCGCCGGAUUGGCUAGUUGGUCAGGUACCGGCUUACCAAGGCAACGAUGCGUAGACGACCGGAGGGGGUGAUCGGCCACCCUGGAAGUGAGACACCGUCCAGACUACUACGGGAGGCAGCAGUAGGGAAUCUUCCGCAACGGGCGAAAGCCUGACGGAGCAACGCCGCGCGAGUGAUGAAGGUCCUCGGAUCGUAAAACUCUGUUAUGAGGGAAGAACAACUGUGUACUUAAACAUGCCCUUAUUGACGGUAACUAAUCAGAAAGCACCGGCUAACUACGUG
rnacentral:rRNA from 1 species